rnacentral:ncRNA from 1 species
UAUUAAUUGCCACCGGGUAAUAAAAUGCGAAAGCAUUCGUUGCACAUCAUUAGGUCUUUGAAGAUGUGUACACGAGUGCUUAUUUUGUU